rnacentral:rRNA from 1 species
AUUGAACGCUGGCGGCAUGCCUUACACAUGCAAGUCGAACGGUAACGCGGGGCAACCUGGCGACGAGUGGCGAACGGGUGAGUAAUACAUCGGAACGUGCCCAGUAAUGGGGGAUAGCCCGGCGAAAGCCGGAUUAAUACCGCAUACGACCUAAGGGUGAAAGAGGGGGAUCGCAAGACCUCUCGUUAUUGGAGCGGCCGAUGGCAGAUUAGGUAGUUGGUGGGGUAAAGGCCUACCAAGCCGACGAUCUGUAGCUGGUCUGAGAGGACGACCAGCCACACUGGGAGGGAGACACGGACCGGACGACUACGGGAGGCAGCAGUGGGGAACUUUGGACACGGGACGCAAGUUUGAUCCAGCAAUGCCGCGUGCGGGAAGAAGGCCUUCGGGUUGUAAACCGCUUUUGUCAGGGAAGAAAUCGUCUGGGUUAAUACCUCGGGAGGAUGACGGUACCUGAAGAAUAAGCACCGGCUAACUACGUGCCAGCCGCCGCCGUAAAAC